CCCCUCCCCUCCCUCCCUUCUCCUGCGCGGCCUCCGCCGAGCUCGGCCGGCCCGCGCGCCCCGUCCUCGAGCUCGCUCCCCUCUACCUGCCCUGCGGCUCCGCAGUCCCCGGGGCUCCGCGUGCACGCGGGCCCCUGGGCAGCCCCGUCGCCUUGCUCCAACUCACACUUUCCCCAGGUCUGGCCCCAGCCCUCGCCCCGCAGCCAAGCUCCUCAAAGCCUCCAGAUCCCCAAACUUUUAUUGGAAUUACAGACCAUAAGUCUGUCCUCAGCGCCUGUGCCCUCCAGGCCCCCCACCCGGCCGGCCGCCCCCUCCGGACCUGGAGCGGCUCGGCUGCUCCCUCCUGCCUCACCCCUCCGCCCGAGCCCCCCGAGCCUCCUGCAGGAAGCAAACCAGGAAGUUGGGGUUACCGUUGCGGCAGCGGCAGCUCCACGUGGCUGAUUUAUAGCUGGCAGGAUUUUUUUUUUUUUUUAUUGAUUGUUCUUGCUUUCUCACACAGCUCCUUAAGGUGGUAUAUUUGUUACCGGAAGGCCCAGGUGAGAUGUGCAAAUAGCAAUGGACUGGAGGAGCUCACUUGCAAAGCCAGUAUUUCUUUCUCCCCAGCUAGAGAGACGAAAGCCAGUCUGUCUUAGGCUAAUAAGCAGUACCAGCCGUGUUCACGGGCUGUAAGUUUCAAUUCGGAGGACCAAGGAUUUCGGGUUUUUAAAACAGUAUUGCAUACACCUGGCCUCCCUCAGACCCUGAUUUUUGCCAGUUGAUUUGCUUUUCUAACGCCUUUUCUGCCUGUGUUACUUAAAUUAUACAGGAAAGGACAUUGGCAAAUGUGGACUUUAACCAAGUACCCCACCCUAAGGAAAUAACCUUUGUACCCACAUCUCCCAGUGAAGAUGUCAAUCCCUUUAUAUCGCGGAGUGUAAUUAUGUAAUUACAUCAGCAGCGUGUCAUGCCCUAGGCUGCCUAGUUGAAGGCACUGCUGAAGACCCAGUGAGCAGGUAAAUGUCUGUUGAGUAGCUGCUUGCCUGUUACAAAUGAAGCAGGGCCCCUCGUUCACCGUAAUCUGACGGGAAGAUGGUACAAAACGAAACAAGGCAACUGGACCUGUCUAUUAACAGAUACCAAAUUACUUUUUGCUUAAAAAUAUGAGUGUGUACCAUAUGCCGGACAUUGUACCAGGGAUGCAAGCUGAGGACAUUGUUCUGGCCUCUGAGAAGCUUUCAAACAAGUGGGGACUCCAGAUGGUUCAUGUUGGAAGACAUACUUUCUAAACUCUUCUCAAGUGACAAUAAAAUGGACUAGUUGAUAAACCUUUCUGCAAACAGAUUUUCAAAACUCCUAUCGAUCCACUGUGCUUUCAUGUUAAAGGAAGAAUGGAAACCUCAGCUCUGAAACAAGAUAACUUCAGCUCCAGGGCCGAGGAGGCCAGCCGGCAGCUGGGUCGUUUUGAUAUCAGAAGGAUUUCAAAACCGUCCCCCUGUGAAGGAUGAAUUAUACACCCACACUGGGGCAUCAACAUGGCAGUGCUAAGAAGCCAGACACCGACCGAACUCUGCAGGGCCUGCAGGUCACUCCUGUGACAGAACAGCUUAGUUAUUCUCACUGAAGUGUUGUGCCAAGCCCCAGGGUCUGUGGUUCUACACUGACCCGGUGGUCAGAGCAAGGACAUUUUCUUGUCCCUCCAGACACGGACAAGAGGGGAGACCUGAAAGUACAUACACCUCACAGUUACAUCCGGAUACUUUUAAUAUUCUGAUGGGAAUAAAUUACCCUGAGUCUGCCCACGAUGGUUAUUUUGGCUUUGACAACUGAAGCUCUGUGGAUGGAUCCCAUAAAUCUCUACUUCCAUCAGUGGAGAUCAAAAUAUUCAUGUAAAUUCUCUGCAGAAGUUCAGUUCAAACCUAUUCAGCUCAUUUCUGGCAUUGGAUAAGAACUAAGAUCUUGCUUCUCCGGGCUCUUCCCUCAAUAAAAGUGGAGUAUAAGAGGAAUUUGUGAGCCUCCCAAUCCUUUCCUGGGCAUGGAAGUUUCAGCCUGCAUGAGCCUACCACCAUCUCGCAUGCAGACAGCCCUCUCUCGUGUCGCUGGCAUUCCGCGUGUCUUGGCUGCCACCGUAGCCUCUGUAUCUUGGCACAUCCAGUGACCUGACUCCCGUCUUUUCUUCGUGCUGGAGAGAAUGGGAUGGAGAAACUUCUUUCUUUCUUCCCUUUAGCCUCUUCAACAGGAAAACAUCAGAUGACAUGUAGUGUGCAAAUUUUGUCGAAAAACAGCAACAGUCAUAACAGGAAAAUCAACAUGAACAUUUAUUGCUCACCUACUAUAUACACCAUUAACUAUGCUGAGUGCUUUACUGCAUCUGAACAACUCUACGAAUACGCAUUAUUAUGGUGCCUAUUUAUAGUGUGAAGUAUUUUUCCAUACGUGGAGUCUCUGAGGCAUCUUGAACCUUCCUUUCCCGCAAUCGGAUGAGUUCCCCUCGAGGAUCUUUGAAGAACUCACUUCAGACUCUUCUGCUUAGAGGAAAUUCCUUUUUAGCCUCAGAAGAUAGCUGGCUGUAUUAAAGAAGUGCUGCUAUGACUGGAAUGUUUGAAGACUGUUCCAGAAAUUGUGGCUUCGUUUUCGUUUUAAUUUUAGUCCCUGAAUUGUGUAUUUAAUAUAGACCAAUUUGCAGGAAUAGCAGAUCUCCCAGCUGGUUUCCGCGGCGGGCGGCAGCAUCCUGUCUGCUGCUCUCCGAGCCCAGCAGCUGUGCCUCGAAUCUGCUCCGCAGACAGCUGCCUUGCACUGGGCCCUGCCGGAACGCUUUCGUCCUCAGCUGCCACACCUGGGAGCCCGGGAUGUCACUGAACGGACCAGACCACGUGGGGCACACCCCAGAGAAGUCUGCCGUCUCCUUCCUUCACACAUCUGAAACUUACAGACGUUUGCAGAUGAGUUGCCAAAAUUUGAAUGUCUAUAUUGAAUUGUGACAGUAAAGGCAUAUUCCGUGUUUGGAAAGUGUCUUAUUGAAUACUCUGUUACAAGCCAGAGCAUUCUUCUGUAACUCUGUGAGGUCUGGACACUGUUUCCAAGCUUGCAGAGUUGUGGUCAUUAUUAUUACUUUCGUCUUUUUGGAAAAUCAGCUUUGGAAACAGCAGGAUGAGCAACCACGCAGGUUCACGUCCCAGGGAGUGCCUUUCAUGCUCCGCUCUUGUCCCCAGAGUCACAUCUUCUCUGCCUUAUCUUAGCCUUUGCCAAGUCCACACCGACAGAAAACGUGAUAGAAAGUUCCUUCUGCUCCUGUUGGGCAUUAAUGAGUCCAUUCACCGGGUGGUCACUGAGCCCCUCCCCCGUGCCAGGUCCUGACAGUGGUGUCCCUGCCUCUGCUGCCUGGCUGUGGGUGGCAACUUCAGACCAUCUUGGGAGGCGUAUUUUGGGGAAGAUAUGAGGCAACCCACAAUACGUAGUUCUAAGUUCUAUCCCCAUUUUUCAGUGUUUUGAGGAGGAAACCUGUACAGGAUCAUGAAAAAAGUAGCUGCUUUCUUUCCAUGGAGCAUCCUGGAAGGCCGGGUUGUGUGAAUCGUAGUACGUCCAACACUGAGUCAGUACCAGGUGUGCAAAAGAUGCUCCAAAGUGGCUUGAUAAAUGAUUGCAGGAAGGAACAGUCCCGGACAGAUAUAGCUGUGUAAGAAGAUGUUUCCUGGCAUAGCACACCAACUUGGCAUCACCACCGAUCAGCAUGAGUAUGGCUUGAAUUGCAGUAUCAAUAGAGAGAGAAAGAAAGACUGAGUGGUCUUUGAUGCUUUGAACUCUUCUAGGUGAAAGAAAUGAAGAAAGAAGAGAAAUAACGUCUUGGAGGUCUUUAUAUACUAUUUGCUUAAAGAUAGUAUUUAUUUUAGGAACAGCUCUGAGCAUAAUUAGAAGUGUCUUUCUGUUGUGUUUUGAGAAUUUAGAGGAUCUAGCUGUGGCCCUAGAAAAAAGGUUCCAACACCAGCAGUGUCCUGACCUUUGAGAUGAGGUAAUAAUACUCACCUUUCAGAGUUUUGGUAAAGAUUAGACAUGAUAAUCUGGGUAAGGUGCUUAGCACACAGUCUAUGCCUGCCACACGUAGGUACUUCACACAGAGUGGUUAGUAUUGUUGAAGAAACUGAACCAAAGCAAGAGAAUAAUGGUUACCAAAGGAGACAUGAGCCAAGUUUGGGUCAAUCCCAUGUGUGAAUUAUGACGAACAAAGCUUUAAAGAUUGUCUGCAGGCAAAAUCACAUUGAAAAAUAAGCAUGAUUGAGGGUGGAGAAAAACAUUAGUAUUUAUUUGAGCCAUCACUUUUUGUUGAGCACUGUCUAGGUAUAUUAGCUAUCCAGUGCUGCAAAACAAAGUAGCACAAAACUUAGCAUCUUAAAACAACACCGUCU